AUGUACCGGCGUCCACUGCGGUUGUGAGCCGCGCCGUCCGCGCCCCCUGACAGCUGCGCGCGACGUUGUGUUAGCC
rnacentral:sRNA from 1 species